UGGGGAAUAUUGCACAAUGGGGGAAACCCGUAGCAUGCAGCAACGCCGCGUGAAGGAAGACGGUUUUCGGAUUGUAAACUUCUUUUCUUAGUGAAGAAACAAAUGACGGUAGCUAAGGAAUAAGCAUCGGCUAACUACGUGCCAGCAGCCGCGGUAAUACGUAGGAUGCGAGCGUUAUCCGGAUUUACUGGGUGUAAAGGGAGCGCAGGCGGGACUGCAAGUUGGAUGUGAAAUACCGCAGCUUAACUGCGGAGCUGCAUCCAAAAUCUGUAGUUCUUGAGUGGAGUAGAGGCAAGCGGAAUUCCGAGUGUAGCGGUGAAAUGCGUAGAUAUUCGGAGGAACACCAGUGGCGAAGGCGGCUUGCUGGGCUCUAACUGACGCUGAGGCUCAAAAAGGUGUGGGGAGCAAACAGGAUUAGAUACC
rnacentral:rRNA from 1 species